GACGAACGCUGGCGGCGUGCUUAACACAUGCAAGUCGAACGGAAAGGCUCCAGCUUGCUGGAGUACUCGAGUGGCGAACGGGUGAGUAACACGUGGGUGAUCUGCCCUUCACUUCGGGAUAAGCCUUGGAAACUGGGUCUAAUACCGGAUAGGACCGCACUUUGGUGUGUGUGGUGGAAAGGUUUUUCUGGUGUGGGAUUAGCUCGCGGCCUAUCAGUUUGUUGGUGGGGUAAUUGCCUACCAAGACGGCGACGGGUAGCCGGCCUGAGAGGGUGGACGGUCACAUUGGGACUGAGAUACGGCCCAGGCUCCUACGGGAGGCAGCAGUGGGGAAUAUUGCACAAUGGGGGAAACCCUGAUGCAGCGACGCCGCGUGGGGGAUGAAGGCCUUCGGGUUGUAAACUCCUUUCGAUAGGGACGAAGCUUUUUGUGACGGUACCUGGAGAAGAAGCACCGGCUAACUACGUG
rnacentral:rRNA from 1 species